GACGUAGGAGGCGAGCGUUGUCCGGAUUCAUUGGGCGUAAAGAGCACGCAGGCGGUUUGGCAAGUCGGAUGUGAAAACCCGGAGCUCAACUCCGGACCUGCAUCCGAAACUGCCCGACUAGAGGUAGGUAGGGGAGAUCGGAAUUCCUGGUGUAGCGGUGAAAUGCGCAGAUAUCAGGAGGAACACCGGUGGCGAAGGUAAUCCCCUGGGCCUGCACUGACGCUCAUGCACGAAAGCGUGGGGAGCAAACAGG
rnacentral:rRNA from 1 species